rnacentral:misc_RNA from 1 species
AACGCACAUUGCGCCCGCCAGCAUUCUGGCGGGCAUGCCUGUUCGAGCGUCAUUUCAACCCUUAAGCCCCCGUUGCUUAGCGUUGGGAGCCUACCGUCGCGUAGCUCCCCAAAGUCAGUGGCGGAGCCGGUCACCCACCCCGGGCGUAGUACAUCGUCUCGCCUGCGGUAGGGCCGGCCCCCGGCCGUUAAACCCCCCCAGCAUCAAGGUUGACCUCGGAUCAGGCAGGAAUACCCGCUGAACUUAA